rnacentral:misc_RNA from 1 species
UCCUGGUUAACCCAGGCAGUCUCACUAGAGUUCCCACCCUAACGUGUUGGCAACUAGUAAUAAGGGUUGCGCUCGUUGCUGGACUUAACCAAACACCUCACGGCACGAGCUGACGACAGCCAUGCAGCACCUGUGCAGAUGCCCCGAAGGGCUUUGACAUUUCUGCCAAAUUCAUCUGCAUGUCAAACCUGGGUAAGGUUCUUCGCGUUGCAUCGAAUUAAACCACAUGCUCCACUGCUUGUGCGGGUCCCCGUCAAUUCUUUUGAGUUUCACCCUUGCGAGUGUACUCCCCAGGCGGUAUACUUAUCGCGUUAGCUUCGGCACAAUCGGGGUUGAGUCCGAUUACACCAAGUAUACAUAGUUUACGGCUAGGACUAC